rnacentral:rRNA from 1 species
GAGGAAGUAAAAGUCGUAACAAGGUUUCCGUAGGUGAACCUGCGGAAGGAUCAUUACAAAUGUCUGGGAUGUCCAAUCGGGCCCCCAAGCAAACACAUCCAUGUGUACACUCCCAUGUUGCUUCCCCAGAUCAGUGGCCACUGCUGCCAGCCCACCCCCUCAAUCGGGGUCCUGGGUUGAGGUGUCUGGGGAAGGGCCCAAUAACAAACCUUUGAACCAAUUAGUUGUCUGAGUAGGCCACCCGCCGCAAUCUUUAAAACAUGUUAAAACUUUCAACAACGGAUCUCUUGGCUCUCGCAUCGAUGAAGAACGCAGCGAAAUGCGAUAAGUAAUGUGAAUUGCAGAAUUCAGUGAAUCAUCGAAUCUUUGAACGCACAUUGCGCCCUUUGGUAUUCCUUAGGGCAUGCCUGUUCGAGCGUCACUAAAAACCCCCUCACAGAUAAUGUGGUAUUGGUAGAAGUGAACGGUACUUACAUUACCUUGUCUCACUCUGCUGAAAUGAAUAGGCCAGAGAAGUGGACCCAUGGUAAUUGACUCCAGGAGUGUUUUUCAAUGCUAAACUAGUCUUUACCCAAGUCAAAUUCUGAGCUACUGGACCCCCCAUUAAGUCCAAAACAGAGUGGUUGACCUCGGAUCAGGUAGGGAUACCCGCUGAACUUAAGCAUAUCAUA